UUGGCAAGCGGAGUGUGACAGCCCCCAGCGGGGCCAGGGGCAGCCUCUCAGAUCGCCGGAGCCAGCGCUGGGCUGGGCUGGCCUGGCCCAGGGGCAGUCGGCAGGGGGCCCUGCUUCACGUGAAUACUGAAUGUCCCCGCACGGGGCCGGGGAGUCACAGGCCCGCUGCCUUUCAGGUGAUGCGCAAAGCCGACGAUCUGGCUGCUUGUAGCUAUUAAAGUCCCCCCGGCUGGCACUUUUCAGAGGGGGAGAAGUGUUAGCCUAAACUCCACGUGUCACAGUGUUCUGCCUACCUGUGUGCAGGUGAUUGGGCUUGUGGGAAUCCCCGAGGGAGCGAGAGACUAAAUCCCCUUAUUGCCUUAACUGAUUAACUCCUGGCUCUCUGUCUCCAAAACUGUUCUGGAGUGUUGCUUGUAGGCACCACCACCGCACGCCAGGCUGCAUUUCAUGGGGAGUAUGGAAACGAUCUCCUGUGCUCAUAUAGAACUUGGCCCUACCAGCUGUAAAUCCCAGUGGAGUCAAAUUGAUUUCUCAUGGUAUAGUCUGGUCUGUGUGUAAGUGUCAAAAUGAGGCUGAACUGCCAGGUCUGUUGCUUGGAGCUGAAAGAGCUGGGAGGCGGAGAGGACAGAAUCUGCGUGAAUGUGGUGACUUCAAUAGACCCUAAUAGGAAGCUCAAAUAAUACAGUAUAUGUAUAACAACAUUUCAGCCAGGGAGGAAGAAGAGAACCUGACUACCGAACCAGAAGGGAAAACUGCUACACACCGCCCUGGUUAUUAGGCGCAGAGAAGACAUCUUUGCCAUCCUCAUGGUAGGCAGGGUGUUAUAUCCUGGUCAUCAUUGUAGUUUCUGAGCACCUUCCACUAGAGCAUUAAGCCAUGUGACUACACAUCCGUCAGUGUUUGUUCUAACACCCUGUCCUCAGAGAAGUGUUGCCACCUGCAGCCCUAUCUGACAUCUGCUGCUACAGACCACUGUGGAUGCUGAAUUCUGGAGCUGUCUUCCCUUGCUGCCUCCUCUUUAGCUGUACUUCUAGAUUUCCUGAACAACUCAGAGAGAUCACCUAAGGACACAGAGCCUCAUAAGUCAAAGGCUUUCAGGCAGACAGGCGCAAGAUGAGGAACUUUUGAUCAGAAACUGGUCAGACAUUCCCAGAGUGGUUGAAAGCCUGUCAAGGUCACUGCCAAGGAC